GUGCCCGUGGUGGAGUUGGUAUACACAGCAGGCUCAAACCCUGUCGCUAUAAGCAUGAGCGUUCGAAUCGCUCCGGGCACA
rnacentral:tRNA from 1 species